UACGUAGGUGGCAAGCGUUGUCCGGAAUUAUUGGGCGUAAAGCGCGCGCAGGCGGCCUCUUAAGUCUGAUGUGAAAGCCCCCGGCUCAACCGGGGAAGUGGCGUGGAUACGACCGGGCUGGAGGGGGUAGGGGGAGCCGGGAACUUCCGGUGGAGCGGUGAAAUGCGUUGAGAGUCGGAAGGAAGCGCCGUGGCGAAACGGGCUCCUGGACCC
rnacentral:rRNA from 1 species